GUCUGAAGAGAGGCGUCCAUGUUCACACCAGGAGGUGAAAAGAAGCUGGAGCCACAGUGAUGAGUGAGACCUACGUGAAGAGGCUGUCCACCAUCCUGCUGGACGCCAUCACUGACAAGGACCCUCGGGUGCAGGAGCAGGUAUGUGGCGCCCUGUGCGCCCUCGGAGAGUCGCAGCCAGCGGAGGUGCUUAGCGCCUGUGAGGAGCACCUGCGGCUGCACGAAAAGCUAGCUCAUCCAUACCGGACAAUGAUCCUAAGGGCCAUGGAGAUAGUCGUGAGCGAUCACAUCGGCGAGCUGGACAAGGACAUGGCCAGGGCCAUCAUCCUCCUGGCCUCCAAUGAGAUGACCAAAGUGAAGGAGCUGGUCUCUGAUUGGCAGCAAGCCGCCAGCAGCGUCCUGGUGGCGGUGGGGAGGCGGUUCAUCAGCAGCGUGAUGGAGGAGCUGCUGAGCAAGUUCCAGCCCGGGCUCCUGCCGCACCCCUGCACCAUGCACACACUCGCCAGCCUCUCCGUCUCCAAUGUGUUUGGCAUGGUGCCCUUCCUGACGUCCAUCCUCAGCACCAUGCUGCCCAUGCUGGGCGCAGCCAAGCACGACUCAAUGAAAGUGGUGUUCUGCUGUGCUCUGCAGCGCUUCAGUGAGAGCACCCUGGAGUACCUGGCCAACCUGGAUCAGGCCCCAGACCCCACAGUCAGAAAGGACGCCUUUGCCUCAGACAUCUCUGGUGCUUACGACAUCCUUUUCCACCAGUGGCUACAGAGCCGGGAAGCGAAGCUCGCAGUGGUGGAGGCCCUGGGGCCCAUGAGCCACCUGCUCCCCAGCGAGAAGCUGGAGGAGCAGCUCCCCAAGCUGCUGCCCGGCGUGCUCGCCCUCUACAAGAAGCACGCCGAGACCGUCCACGUGUCCAAGAGCCUCGGCCAGAUCCUGGAGGCAGCCGUGAGCGUGGGCAGCCGCACUCUGGACGUCCAGCUUGACUCUCUCCUUGUCGCUCUGCACACUCAGAUCUGCGUGCCUGUGGAGUCAUCCAGCCCACUGGUGAUGAGCAACCAGAAGGAGGUGCUGCGCUGCUUCACGGUGCUGGCCUGCUACUCGCCGGACCGCCUGCUGGCCUUCCUGCUGCCCAAGCUGGACACCAGCAACGAGAGGACCCGUGUGGGCACCCUGCAGGUCCUGAGGCACGUCAUCAACGCGGCGGCUGCUCAGAUGGAAGUUAAGAAACCCUUCAUUCUUUCCUCCAUGAAGCUCCCUCUUCUGGACACCAACAACAAGGUGAAGCGGGCAGUGGUGCAGGUGGUCAGCGCCAUGGCCCACCACGGCUACCUGGAGCAGCCUGGCGGCAAGGCCAUGGUCGAAUACAUCGUGCAGCAGUGCGCUCUGCCCCCCGAGGCUGAGACUCAGAAGCCGGGUGCGGACAGUGAGGCCCUGGCGGCCGACAGCGUGCGGGCCAUCAGCGUCAGCACCCUCUACCUGGUCAGCACCACCGUGGACAGGAUGGGCGAGGUCCUCUGGCCGUACCUGCUUGAGUUCCUGGUCCCCAUUCGCUUCACCGGGGCGCUGAGCCCGCUCUGCAGGAGCCUUGUGCACUUGGCCCAGAAGAGGCAGGAGGCGGGGGCCCAUGCCCCCCUCAUCCAGUACAACGGCAAUGUGCACCUCCCGUCUCCCUACGCCAUCACCACCAGACUCCUGGUCGUAUCUUCCAAUCCCUAUGUGGGGGACGGUCGUGGAGCAGCCUCACUGCGCCUCCUGAGUGUCUUGCAUCAGGAUAUCCACCCGGCCCUGGGUCAGCGGUGGGCGACCGCCAUCCCCCUGCUGCUGGAACACCUGGACGAAUACAGUGAAGAAACCCUGCCACAGGAGGAGUGGGAAGAAAAGCUGCUGAUGUUUCUCCGGGAUUCCCUGGCUGUCGUGUCUGACAACACCUGGGUCUGCCAGCUGACCCUGGAAAUGUGCAAGCAGCUACCCAACUACAACGGGAUGCCCCUGGAGAAGAACUUCCUGUACAAAUGUGUCGGGACCACCCUGGGUGCCGCUUCAAGUAAGGAGGUGGUGAGGAAGCACCUGCAGGAGCUGCUGGAGACGGCCAGAUACCAGGAGGAGAGGGAGCGUGAGGGCCUUGCCUGUUGCUUUGGGAUCUGUGCCAUCUCCCACCUGGAUGACACCCUGGCCCAGCUGGAAGACUUUGUGAAGUCAGACGUGCUCAGAAAAUCUGCCGGCAUUUUCAGCAUUUUUAAGGAUCGGAGUGAGAGUGAGGCCGACAGAGUGAGGAGCGCGCUGAUUCUGUGCUACGGGCACGUGGCGGCCCGGGCCCCGCGCGAGCUGCUGCUGGCCAGGGUGGAGGCAGACGUGUUUCGGAACAUGUCCCAGUGCUUCAGCACCAAGGUUCUGGGGAUAAAGGUAGAGACCAAGGACCCGGCCCUGAGACUGAGCCUGGUGCAGAGUGUGUGCAUGGCCACCCAGGCCAUCUGCAGCAGCGCCCACGGCGGCUCCUUCCACCUCUUGAGGAAGGCGGAGCUGGUGGCGCAGAUGGUGGAGUUCAUCAAAGCGGAGCCCCCAGACUCGCUGAGGACGCCCAUUCGGAAGAAGGCCAUGCUAGCCUGCAUGUACCUGGUUACCCUGGAGCCGGCCCUGGAGGAGCAGGUGCAGGCGGACCUGAUUCACAGCUGCCUGCACAGUGUCAUGGCCGUGCUGCCUGAACCAGAGGAGGGGGACAGCCUCCAGGAGUCCCUGUACCUGGACACCAUGCAGGCCCUCAAGGACUUGCUGACGAGCCUCCUUCAGCGGAACAUGACGCCCCAGGGUCUGCAGGUCAUGGUGGAGCACCUGAGCCCGUGGAUCAAGUCCCCGAAGGGCCACGAGCGGGUGCGGGCGCUUGGCCUGAGUGCCUGCCUGCUGCAGUUCUUCCUAGAACACCUGCAGAUCAGCGCCCUGGUGCCCUUCCACAACCUGGGCCUCCUCGUUGGCCUCUUCUCCCCACGGUGCGCCGACCUCUGGCCUGCCACUCGCCGAGAGGCUGUGAGCUGCGUCCACUCCCUGCUGUACCUGCAGCUGGGCUAUGAGGGCUUCUCGCGAGACUACCGGGAUGACGUGGCUGAGCAGCUCCUCAGCCUCAAGGAUGGCCUGGUGCACCCUGACCCUGCCAUUCUCUUCCAUACCUGCCACAGCAUCGCCCAGAUUAUCGCCAAGCGCCUCCCACCAGAUCAGCUCAUCAGCCUCUUGCUAACCUUGUUUGAGGGCCUGGGAGAUCCUGACAAGAACUGCUCGCGAGCCGCCACUGUCAUGAUCAACUGCUUGCUGAAGGAGCGGGGCAACAUGCUGCAGGAGAAGGUGCCCGAGAUUGUGAGCGUGCUGCGCUCGAAGAUGCAGGAGACCCGAGAGGAGCACGUCCUACAAGCUGCACAGCACAGCGUGUUUGUCCUGGCCGCCCACCACCGCGCCGCGGUGGUGUCCAGCCUUCUGGGCAGCCCCCUGCCCUUUGACAGCCACACCUGCACCCUGUGGCGAGCACUGGCCUUGGAGCCCGGCCUCGCUGCACAGGUCUUGGGGCUGCUCCUGGAGAAGAUAAGCAGGGACGUCCCGUUCAAGGAGAGCCGGGCCUUCCUGCUGAGCAGCACGCCGGACCGCGUGGCCACCCUGCUGCCCCUCGCGGCCACCUGUGCACUGCACGAGGUCGCAUCUGCCCCGGCGUCAGGGCCAGCGGUGCUGGAGCUCUACCCCCAGCUGUUUGUGGCACUGCUGCUGCGGGUCAGCUGCACCAUGGGUGUCCAGCCGCCCCGGCACCUGCAGGCCAAGGAGAGGAGGAGCGCCAGCUCGGGCCUGGCUUCACGGAGCCUCGAGCCUUGCAGCUCUGCGGUGGAUGCGCUGCAGGCUGUGCUUAUCCGCAGCGGCAACGAGGACGUGGUGCAGCACAUGGAGCUGGAUGGGGGCUGGCAGCUGCUCAAGACCUCGGCUGGGCACGAGGAGGGCGUCACCCGGCUGGCCAGUGCCAUGGCCAAGUUUGCAGGCCCCCGGCUGCCCCUGGUGAUGAAGGUGCUCUUCGCCACAAAGAGCAGCGUGUAUGAGGUCCAGAGGAUCACCUCCACAGCCUUCCUGGCUGAGCUGCUCAGCAGCAACGUGGUGAACGACCUGAUGCUCCUGGAGUCGCUGCUGGACAACCUGAUGGCACAGCAGAAGGACACGAGCGCCCGCGUACGGAGGCUGGUGCUCCGCGGCCUGGCCAACGUUGCCUUGGGCUCCCCAGAUAAGGUACGGACCCACGGCCCCCAACUCCUGACUGCCAUGAUUGGUGGGCUGGACGACGGGGACGACCCACACAGCCUGGUGGCGCUGGAGGCCAUGGUGGGCCUGGCAAGGCUGAUGGACCUGGUAGACGCCUGGGACCUGCGUGCGGUGCUGCUGCACAUUGCUGUCCGCAUCCGGCCCUUCUUUGACAGUGAAAGGAUGGAGUUCCGCUCAGCGUCCAUCCGCCUCUUUGGGCACCUCAACAAGGCCUGCCGUGGGGACUGCGAGGAUGUCUUUCUGGAGCAGGUUGUGGGUGGCCUGGCGCCCCUUCUGCUGCACCUGCAGGACCCCCAGGCCCCUGUGGUCGCGGCCUGCAGGUUCGCCUUGCGCAUGUGCGGCCCCAACCUGGACUGUGAGGAGCUGGCAGCUGUCUUCCAGAAGCACCUGCAGGAAGGCCGCGGCCUGCACUUUGGAGAGUUUCUCAAUACCACCUGCAAGCACCUGAUGCGCCACUUCCCCGACCUGCUGGGCCGCUUGCUGAGCACCAGUCUGUUCUACUUCAAGAGCAGCUGGGAGGAUGUCCGUGCUGCUGCCCCCAUGCUCACAGGGUUCUUGGUGCUGCACGUGGAGGCUGAGCAGCGGCCACAGGUGGACCUGGAGCAGCUCCUCGCGGCGCUCCAGCUGCUGCUCAAGGACCCAGCCCCCGAGGUGCGUGCGAAGGCUGCGGAGACUCUGGGCCGCCUGGUGAAGUUCGCCUGAGUCUGCCCCAACACCCAAUACCGGCCU
rnacentral:lncRNA from 1 species